UUGUUUAAUUGUUAACAAUUUGUUUUAUGUCAUUCUAUUUUAUUUUCAAUUUUUUUAUUUCGCUUUAUCCACUCUGUUAGAAAAUGGGAUUCCCUCGUCACUCUUUGGUGUACUUGUUAAAUCAGCACGUAUUCUUUUUCUGUAAUUAUUCAUGUAAUUCCUUCUGUUCUCCUUCUUGUUAUCUUUUUGCAGGUUUUGCUGUUUUCUUCUUUCAUUAUAAAGUCUUUGUUUAAUUGCGCUCUUUGUUUCACUUAGUGCUUUAGUCUUUGAUAAUUUAUUUUUUUUGUAACGGUUUUUUAUGUAGCAUCCCGCUUUUUGUUCUCUUCUUCUUUUUUCCUUUCUUUCUUUAUUUAAUCUUAUUCUUUCAGUGGUGGUUAAAUUUGUUUUGGCCUACAAGAACGUAGUUUAAUAUGCAUAAAAAAUUAAAAUAACAAAAUAAACGUUACGUUGAAAAUCACGGAAAACGUUACAAGAUUGCACGGUAACAAAUCAGACUAGACAUUUCGAUUUUCU
rnacentral:lncRNA from 1 species